UACGUAGGGGGCUAGCGUUGUCCGGAUUUAUUGGGCGUAAAGAGCGUGUAGGCGGCCAGGUAGGUCUGCUGUGAAAACUCGAGGCUUAACCUCGAGAUGUCGGCGGAAACCAUCUGGCUAGAGUCCGGAAGAGGAGAGUGGAAUUCCUGGUGUAGCGGUGAAAUGCGCAGAUAUCAGGAAGAACACCUAUGGCGAAGGCAGCUCUCUGGGACGGUACUGACGCUGAGACGCGAAAGCGUGGGGAGCGAACAGG
rnacentral:rRNA from 1 species